UUUUUUUUUUUAAAGGUUUACGAAAGAUCCCAAACAAUGGUGGUGUCCAACAUGAGGAAAAAUUUCAUGAGUUUAUUUAAUGGCUCGUCUUAAGUCCCCUGCCAGUAAGUGUUAGGUACAUUUUCAAUAUCACUCCUUCCUGGAGAUGGAACUCAAUAAUUUGACACCAGAUGCGUCAGACAUUUCUGCACAAGGAAUUACUGAAGCCGAUCCAAGUACUAUUACAACAUUUCAUUACCGUAUUCCAGGAUAACCUGCCAAUUUCACCUCUUGUCCUUCAACUUUGUCAUUCAUCAUCCUUAAUGAUGCAGUUUCCCAGCCUUGGAAGGAGCAGCUGUUGUUAGGCAGCUAUAGGAUCCCGUCUUCGGUUCACGCUUCUCAGGUGGCAUUGCCUCACUCAGAGUGUGUUGGGGAACGGAGGCAACGCACAGAUGUUUAAGUUCCACACCCUUUAGUAUCAUCGAUUAGAUCGUUUAGACAGGAGGGUUUGGAAGUUCUCAGCACACCGUGCAUGGAAAUUUGCAGUGAUCCUCAAUUUCUUUUUUCUUUUUUUCCUUGUUUUUCAUUUAUAAUGACUUUUUUUUUUUCCUUUAUAGUUGGUUUACAGUGUUCUGUCAAUUUUCUACUGAAUGUCUACAAAAUAAGCAAGUGAGAGGAAACUGCCUCUGUGUUGUCAGUCCUUUCUAAUAACAUAUGAUCGUGUUUAUACAUCCUUCCACACUUUCAUCUCUAGCGAGGGCUCCAGAAACCUUAUAACAACAAAGAUGGAUGUAAACUCGGAACCCCCGCCUAACUUUAGGUAUGAGGCAGAUCUGAAAGCAGUGGUUUCAAGGCAUUUUCAGAGGUAGUGGUAAAACAGCCAGAACAUGGAAUAUGAGUCGUAAAAUCCAUUUGGUAGAAAUAGAACAAAAUGAUAAAUUGUUGCUUUCAUUUCCAAGUGAUUUAGUAUUUAUAAAAUAUGCCUAUAAUUUCUUUGUAAUGCAGUUUAUUGUGUUUCUGAAUAAAAAGGUUAACUAAGCCUUUGAAUAAUUUUAGAACUAAUAGUAUGUAUUUUAAAAAUGUUUUCCAACUGUUUAGCCUAUAGAAAAAUUGUUCUACGAAGAACUAAAGAAAACAUCCAACUAAAUGCAUGAUAUUUUCUUCUUUCCACCCACCCCUCAGCUUUAUCAAAAGGGAUUCUAAUAUCAACCACAGAUAUUGUAAGCCACAGCUUCCCAUAUCAACUGUAAUAUCUAAAUAAUACUUUAGAUAUUAUAUAGCUAUAACAUAUAUAGGAAAUAUAUGUAUUUAUAUAGAUAUGUUUAGAGAUAUAAACACAACUAUAGGAUUACUUGUUCUUAUAAUUUUCUUCAUAAGUUGCAGCUUUUACAAAAUUUAUCCACCUGAGUUGACUAAUUUAUGGGCGUAAAGUAAUAAUCCAAUAUUAAAAUUUCACUUCUGUCACUGUCUCUACAGUACUUCUGGAAUGUCCCUGUGAGGGAUUUGACCCAUUUUUCUUCACUGAAGCAACCGCUUAACUUGUGAAAAUUAUUUUUUAAAAAUAUGCAAAGUAUCUGGAAAUUGAUCUAAGAAUAUGAAGUAAAUAGAGAAACAUUAUUCAAAGAACAAAUCUGUUAUAUCUCAGUAAGAACAAGAAUCUAGUGCAUUUGAGCCCUAAGUUGCUCCUAGUCUCCCUCCACCCAGCUCUGCGAUGCAAGCUGUCCUCAGCCUUCAGCCUGUGGCUUGGUCUUACCCUGAGAAGAGCAGGGCAUGGGUGCCUCUCAUCCUUCCAUCCCACCUCCCAGCUCUAGGCAAUAGAAGUCCUAUUCUGGGUUGGCAUAGCCUAGAGGACCCAUCUCCCUUUCUUCACCCAGCUCUUAGGGCAGAAUCUCUAUGCUAGUUUCAUCUUGCCCAUCAAUUAUUGGGGCCUGAUGGUCCCCCGCCCCAUAUCUCCCAUGCCCAUAGGCCAGAGAAUCUAUGCUGAGAGGGCAGGUCUAUAAGACCAAAAGUGUCUGUAGAGGUGUCACACCAUGAGAAGUAGGCCACUGUUCCCACUCCCAGCUAUAGUACAGUGAUGCUGAGCUUCUGCCCAGGGAGGAGAGAGAAACUGUAAGCAUUGCAAGCUCCAGAGCAGUAUCUGAGAGGACUGACUUUAUUUGGAACAGAAUGCAGAGAACACCACGUCUAAGGGCAUUCAUUGUCAAAGACAAUGGAGAACUUGACAGAGAGCAAUUAAAAGGAGUCUUCUAACUCUGUGAAACAAGAAAAAUAAGAGUGCAGCCAGAAAUUUAGAAGAGAAAUAGCCAAAAAGUGUUCUCCUGGGAUGACGUUGACUCUAGCCUAGAAGCCUAUGUGCUAAGUCCAUUGCAGGACCAAUCACAGAAGGUCAUGGACCAAUACAGGACCAAUCACAGAAGGUCAUGGAUCAAUACAGGACCAAUCACAGAAGGUCAUGGACCAAUACAGGACCAAUCACAGAAGGUCAUGAAUCAAUACAGGACCAAUCACCGAAGGACGUGGGCAACAUUUUCCAAGCCACAAAUAGAUCUGCCAAGGGUGGAAGCCUUACUGGCUCAAAAGGCUUCAGUACAACCUCUGACCAACCGCUGGGUGAACAAUAAGCCACACUAAAGCAGGGGCAACCAUAAGCCGCUCUGACCAGGGACAUUAGAAAUUCAGCUGGUGUAGACCGGCAGCUGCAGCUCUAUUUGACCCCUAGGCUGGGAACUUCUGCAUGCUGUGGGUGCAACCCCCACCACCAAAAAAAAACCAAAAAACGA
ensembl:lncRNA